AUUGAACGCUGGCGGCAUGCCUUACACAUGCAAGUCGAACGGCAGCGGGGGAGAAGCUUGCUUUUCCUGCCGGCGAGUGGCGAACGGGUGAGUAAUACAUCGGAACGUGCCCUGUAGUGGGGGAUAACUAGUCGAAAGAUUAGCUAAUACCGCAUACGACCUGAGGGUGAAAGUGGGGGACCGCAAGGCCUCAUGCUAUAGGAGCGGCCGAUGUCUGAUUAGCUAGUUGGUGGGGUAAAGGCCUACCAAGGCGACGAUCAGUAGCUGGUCUGAGAGGACGCUCAGCAACACUGGGACGGAGACACGGCCCAGACUCCUACGGGAGGCAGCAGUGGGGAAUUUUGGACAAUGGGCGAAAGCCUGAUCCAGCAAUGCCGCGUGUGUGAAGAAGGCCUUCGGGUUGUAAAGCACUUUUGUCCGGAAAGAAAUGGCUCUGGUUAAUACCUGGGGUCGAUGACGGUACCGGAAGAAUAAGGACCGGCUAACUACGUGCCAGCAGCCGCAGUAA
rnacentral:rRNA from 1 species